UCUCUAGUGGCUUAGACAGUAAAGCUUCUGCCUGCAAUGCGGGAGACCCGGGUUCAAUCCCUGGGUUUGGAA
rnacentral:tRNA from 1 species